UACAGAGGUCUCAACCGUUGUUCGGAUUCAUUGGGCGUAAAGGGUGCGUAGGCGGUCGCGCAAGUCGGAUGUGAAAUCUCAGGGCUCAACCCUGAAACUGCAUUCGAUACUGCGUGGCUAGAGUGCUGGAGAGGAGACUGGAAUUUACGGUGUAGCAGUGAAAUGCGUAGAUAUCGUAAGGAAGACCAGUGGCGAAGGCGAAUCUCUGGACAGUUACUGACACUGAGGCACGAAGGCCAGGGGAGCAAACGGG
rnacentral:rRNA from 1 species